rnacentral:lncRNA from 1 species
AGAAUAGAGGCACUGAUUACAGAUCGAACAUUGAACCUCAAGAAAUUAAGAAAUAGAUAUUUGAAGUGCCUAUAUAUCGAGAUUGAAGCCGAAGCUCGCACCAGAGAUCGUGUGGGAGGGAUUAUAAGCAGUGGCGGACCCAGAAACUAAAAUGAGGGGGGGCUUAGUUCAAAACUUUUUAUUUAAUUUAGAUUUUUUUUAUGUUCACUUGAAUACAUUUUAAGUCUUAUAAACUCAAAUUUUAUUACUUUCUUUUAAAUUAUAAAUAAUAAUAGUAAUAAAUUAUUUAUUUUAAAUGCAUGAAAAUAUUAUUUUUCGUAAUAUUUAAAUGCGUGAAAAUAUCAUUUUUCGAAGUAGUUCCUACAAAAUAUUUAAAAACAUAAAAUAAUGUGGCUAAUGGGAUUUGAACCAGAUUUUGAAACCAUUAAAUAACACUCUUUCAAUUGAACUACAAGUCUUUUAAUGUAUGAAAAAUGUGUCCAAAUUUUUUUAUAUAACGUUUUCAUAAGGAACUUGGGGUACAUUUAAAAGAAAACUUAAUGGCCCAGGGGGGGCUGAAGCCCCUCCUAGGCCUUAAUUGGGUCCGCCCAUGAUUAUAAGUGUUUUUAGUUUGAUAACUUACGGUCUGUUUGGGAGUGUGGUGAGAUAGUUGAAUUGUCAAAGUCUAGCUACUAAGGUGUUUAGUAAUUCUUGUAACUGGACUUUUGCAGCUUAACAAAAAAAUUUUUUUCAACUUUUAUUCUACGACAGUAUCUUUUAUUUUACAGUAUCUGCAGCUUAAAAACUACCACACCUCACUCCGAACACACCCUUAAUUGCCGAAAUACAGCUUUUAACACAUCAACAGCAGCAGCCUGAGCUCGUGCACAUGCGGUAAGCGAUUAUGCGUAAGCGUACAAGAUUGCCUUAAUUAAUUAUUUCGGAAGGCAAAUGCAACGAACGGCAAUGGAUCAUCUUCCAGCAGCCGCCGGUUCUACGGAUGCAGACAUUAGACAUCUGGUGUGAAAGCGUUAUAAUUUUUUGCUGCAGGAAUUGUUUGUACCUGUUUGACGGUUUGAUGUGAAGCGGGUGUAAUAACUACAUUUUGAUUGGUGUCCAAGUUUGGUCAUGGUACGCGCUGGUGUUGAUGAAAGAAUAAGAUGUAGCCUAACAUUGCUUGGAUUGGAGGCUUCAGGUUAUCAUUUGUCGUGAACAAUUGGAGAAAUGUGUCGGUGCCUCGGUGGUGAUGCAGAAAAAGAGAAUUGCGUAUGAAGUACUUAGAGAGUAUGGGUUGGAGAGUUGUGCAGGCGGUGAUACUAAUAACUGGUGCAGAAUUACAAGCCAAGUCCCACUACAAACGAAUUUACAUUCCAUCACUUCACAAUUUUAAACUAAACUUAGUGAAAAAGUAAAAUCUCAAUCAAUUAACGUGUCUGUAGAAUUCAAUUCACCUCUGUGUCCAUUUUUCACAUUUUAUUAAUAUUUUGUUUCAUCGUUUUAAUCAAAGAGAAAUCAAAAAAAGAAGAAGAAGAGGCUCCUCUUGUCCGUCUUCUUUGAUUCUUUAUCUAUCUCCUCAAUAAAAAUAAAAAUAAAAGUCGGUGCAAAGAAAAGGAACCAGAUGGGGAGUGGGGAGUGGGCACUGACAAAAUUCUAACUGCCC